rnacentral:sRNA from 1 species
AGAGCAGUAUUUCAAAGAGAAUUCCCUGAACUGAUGAAAGAGAAUGAAAAAUCUGUUUGCCAAGCAUUUAGGGCAACACCAGGACAGUUUUUGGGACCAGAUUGUUUGUUUACAACAAAGUUUCUGCUUGAUGAUGACCAUGAGCAGAGAACUCAGAGAAGUUUAUUUGGUGGCCUGACUCAAGCCAAAUGUACAGACCUAGA